rnacentral:rRNA from 1 species
AUGCCCCCACCUGAAACCAUGAACAAUGUUAGACUGCGCUACGCUGAAGAAGGCGUGCUAGAUGGAUAUGAUGUUCUGUACUUGGAUUUGUUCUCUCGUGAUUUUGACACUGAAAUGGAGCCGUACCAUCUUACACUUGAAGAAGCCCGCUUCUACUUCUAUGUGAGGGUUGUUCUUUCUUGUGAUCCCCUGCAUGGAAACUGCACAGUUCUCCGAGUACAAUUGCCAAAGGAUCAACUCUCUUAUACUAGGAUUGGGGACACCAAAUGGACUUGGAUUGAUGCAAAUCCAAAUUGUAGGGCUUAUCAAGAUAUACUUUAUAACAACAAUGAUGGUUUAUUUUAUGGUGUUUGUGUU